UCGGACGCAAUAAAUUAUUAAACGUGUUAUUUUCCAUUUUUUAAGCGUACACGUAACGAAAUAAACUACAGUUUAGUGUUUUCGUUUGUAUGACGUCUUGGGUUUUUUUCAUGAUGCUUAUGCGGCAAAGUCCUUCAUAAAUCUUCAUAGAUUUGUUGGAAAUUUACAAAUGGUCUGGGCACUGAUGUUUCAUCUGAGUGUAACAGAUGGAUAAAAUAAACGAAUAUCACGGCCCAUGAGGCCUUAUGUAAAUUUUCAACAAAUACGUGACUUCCUUGAAUUCUAAAAGAACAAAUCCAUACUGAAUCAUUAAUGAACUGAAAGGACGGUGCGUAUUUCGUGUUAGUGGCUGUUCUAUUUUUUCUACCUGCUAGAUAAAGCUUAGACAAUCUAAUAAAUCAGUACCUUGCAUGAAUCAUUUCUUAAAUAACCUUAGUAAAAAAUGUUUAAUUCUUUAAAUUCUCAAACCCAACAUUUUCCAUUUCUCAUUUACAAUUUUUCUCGUUAGCUACCGUCAGAUCCGCGUUUGUAUAAAUAACUCUAAAAACACUAUAGUGUAGAAUUUUCUUUAAAAAGAAAUUAAGUCCUGUAAAUGUUCUAAUGUUUAAGUCAACCAUAACCAAUGUUCAUUUUAUUUCUAUCGUUUAACCAGCGUACAGAAAAACAUUUGUAUGUAAGUUAAUUUGAUUAGAAAAGUAUAAGUAACUGUUUACACAUUAUAGUUAAUAAUUUUCUUCAGCAAGAAUUAAAGUCCCAUAAUGGUUUUAAUGUUGCAGUAAUCCAUUAUCAAUGGUUAACAUACGUUUAAGCAAACCAGUUAAAAGCAGACUUUAUAAUCAGAACUAUAGGACUAAACGAAUAGGCGAUUAUUUUAAUUAUCGAUAUCUUUGUAUCUUUAUAUAUAAUACGAAUGUCUAUGAUAUAUAAAACCAAAUUAUAUAGUAUAUCUGUACAAAGUAUCACAGUAACUGUUAUAGUAAUGUCGGUAAUUUUCCAGUCCAUUAAAAGAAGACUGUACACUAUUAUGUAAAGAUCAAAAAGCAUAUCUAACAAUUUAUAAUUAGCGUGGAAUGUAUAUGUUGUCAAGAUGUCCUUCCACACUUCUAAACCAACACAAAACGAAGUUGUAUACAUCCAUACAAGGUGAAUAAUCAAAAGAGUAAACAAUACAACGGCAGAACUUGUAUUAACAAAAUGUGUUCUGUUGAGAACGCAGAUGACAAUCAGUGUUGCUAUGUUGAAAAUACAUCCUAAAGUUACACGAAUGAAAUAUAUUUUAGUUUUCCAAUAUUCAUGUUGUACGUCUCCUUUUUGAAAUUUCAGCAGUACUGAAUAUGUUAAAUCUAAAUAAAACUGGAAAUUCAUAUCAAAGAAAUUUCUUUUGCCACUGUCUUCAAACCAAACAUAUAUUGAUCAUAUGUAAAAUACUGCGUAAAUUAUAUUACACUUUAUGUGACCUUCCUACAAAUGAUCGUCUUCCUAUUGCGUGACGGUUAAAUACAUGUUCAGGAUGUAGAAAAACAAAAUUUGUACACUAAGGA
rnacentral:lncRNA from 1 species